UAAAUACUAGCUUUGAGUUACUAUGUAGGUAUGCACCCCUGUUUCUGUGGAAAAGUGUAAAAUUGCAUUUCUCACAGAGAUGCAGGGAACUAAUUGGCAUGUUUAAAUGUUUGGGAUCAUUUAUUUCUUGAUAUAUAUGAAUAAUUUUGGCAUUGAGUUUUAGCCUGCCUUUUUGCUGUUUCAUACAGCUUGGUUUGUCAAGUGUGCCCUAUCAAGUAGGUCACUAGAGGAUUCAGAUCUCACUCAGAGACAUAGAUGUGUUUGGGAUAAGAUCCUGUACAAAAAACAUGAGAUCAGAAUAAAUCUUAUGUUCUGCUGCUGUGGAUGUUAACAGUAAGGGCUUGGUUGUGAACUCAGAUGCAUUUUGUUUUUUAGGAGUAAAAUAAGAGUGCUGUUCAUUACAGGUGCAGUUUAUGAAUACUUCAGUAGAUCCCAUAGGUCUGACAAUUCUCUUCUACUAAAUCUGUCAGUUGCCUUUGAGAUGACAGUGGCCUUAUUGUUCAGGCUUUUAUUUUGAUUGCGGGUUUUAUCAAGUGUUAUCAAAAUAGCAGUUCAAUUUUUUAAUCCUCCCCUCUUUGAAGAAGAUAAAAGUUUGGUGGCUUUUCUGUCCUACAAAUACUAUUAUGACAAUUCAGGAUUUAAAUUUUCACAUCUUUUAGGACAAGCACGUUUCUGCCUAUAAUUACAUAUGUAAGACAAUUCCUGGAAGGAUUUGGGAUAUGCAUGACAGUUUGUUUAAGUCUAAAGUUCCUUCUGCCAAACAGUCUUCACAUAAGGGAUCUGUUUUGUGCACAGCCAACGUUAUUCAGUGUUUUGGAACUUGCCAAGAGGAAUUCUGCAAAGAAACUGGACCAUAGCACCAGCUGAAAUAGCACAAUAGAAAAUGCCACUUUGACAGUUGGAAGAAAUCCAGGGCACAGAGUCAACUGCUGCCUUCUGUUGUCUCAGUACUGGUCUUGUGUCUGGAUUACAGAAGACUUGUGAUUUUUCCCAGUCUCAGUCUGCGAGAAAAAGCCUGUCUUCAGUUUUAGUAGAUAUGUUUUAUCUGCACCUUUUUUGAUGCUAGGAAAGUCAUAGAGUAAGUCAUCUUGGAACAGAGUUCAGAUCACAUGAAGUUGGUGGUGGUCGGUGGAAAGUCAGCACUAAUUACCUUCUAUAAUAAAAAUAUCUGGAUUCACA
rnacentral:lncRNA from 1 species